GACGAACGCUGGCGGCGUGCCUAAUACAUGCAAGUAGAACGCUGAAGCGAGGAGCUUGCUCUUCUUGGAUGAGUUGCGAACGGGUGAGUAACGCGUAGGUAACCUGCCUGGUAGCGGGGGAUAACUAUUGGAAACGAUAGCUAAUACCGCAUAAAAUGGAUUAUCGCAUGAUAAUCCAUUGAAAGGUGCAAAUGCAUCACUACCAGAUGGACCUGCGUUGUAUUAGCUAGUUGGUGGGGUAACGGCUCACCAAGGCGACGAUACAUAGCCGACCUGAGAGGGUGAUCGGCCACACUGGGACUGAGACACGGCCCAGACUCCUACGGGAGGCAGCAGUAGGGAAUCUUCGGCAAGGGACGGAAGUCUGACCGAGCAACGCCGCGUGAGUGAAGAAGGUUGUCGGAUCGUAAAGCUCGGUUGUAAGAGAAGAACGAGUGUGAGAGUGGAAAGUUCACACUGUGACGGUAUCUGACCAGAAAGGGACGGCUAACUACGUG
rnacentral:rRNA from 1 species